AUUGAACGCUGGCGGCAGGCUUAACACAUGCAAGUCGAACGAGUGGCGGAAGGGUGAGUAAUGCUUGGGAAUCUGGCUUAGAGAGGGGGAUAACUACGGGAAACUGUAGAUAAUCACGCGUACAAUAUGAUGAGCCCAAGUGGGAUUAGGUAGUUGGUGAGGUAAAGGCUCACCAAGCCGACGAUCCCUAGCUGGUCUGAGAGGAUGACCAGCCACACUGGGACUGAGACACGGCCCAGACUCCUACGGGAGGCAGCAGUGGGGAAUAUUGCGCAAUGGGGGCAACCUGAUGCAGCCAUGCCGCGUGAAUGAAGAAGGCCUUCGGGUUGUAAAGUUCUUUCGGUAGCGAGGCGUUACCUACAGAAGAAGCACCGGCUAACUCCGUGCCAGCAGCCGCGGUAAUUC
rnacentral:rRNA from 1 species